rnacentral:rRNA from 1 species
AUUGAACGCUAGCGGGAUGCUUUACUCACGCAAGUCGAAAGAGUGGCGGACGGGUGAGGAAUAUAUCGGAACGUGCCCAGUAGCGGGGGAUAACUACUCGAAAGAGUGGAUAAUAACGCAUACUAUUGGAGCGGCCGAGAUGGGAUUAGCUAGUUGUUGGGGUAAAGGCUCACCAAGGGAACGAUCCGUAGCUGGUUUGAGAGGACGACCAGCCACACUGGGACGGAGACAAGCCCCAUACUCCUACGGGAGGCAGCAGUGGGGAAUUUUGGACAAUGGGGGAAACCCUGAUCCAGCCAUCCCGCGUGUAUGAGAAGGCCUUCGGGUUGUAAAGUACUUUUGGUAGGGAAGCGGUAUCUGCAGAAUAAGCACCGGCUAACUACGUGCCAGCAGCCGCGGUAAUUC